CCAACCUGCCGUCUACUCUUGGCCAGCCUUCUGAAAGGAAGAUUAAUCCAGGAUGGCAUCAUGAGUUCACAUGUCCGCAUGAUUAAAGGUAUUUUCCGGUAGACGAUGGGGAUGCGUUCCAUUAGAUGGUAGGCGGGGUAACGGCCCACCUAGUCAACGAUGGAUAGGGGUUCUGAGAGGAAGGUCCCCCACAUUGGAACUGAGACACGGUCCAA
rnacentral:rRNA from 1 species